GUCCUAGGUGUAAACGCUGUGAACUUGGUGUCGGGAGUCCGCAAUGGGCCCCCGGUGCCGGAGUGAAGAUGUUAAGUUCACUGCCUGGGGAGUACGGUCGCAAGGCUGAAACUUAAAGGAAUUGGCGGGGGAGCACUGCAACGGGAGGAGCGUGCGGUUUAAUUGGAUUCAACGCCGGAAAACUCACCAGGGCCGACUGUUAUAUGAAGACCAGCGUAAUGAGCUUGUCGGAUUUUCAGAGAGGUGGUGCAUGGCCGUCGUCAGUUCGUACUGUAAAGCGUUCUGUUAAGUCAGAUAACGAACGAGACCCUCAUCUCUAUUUGCUACCUGUCUCUCCGGAGGCGGCGCACUAUAGGGAGACCGCUGGUGUUAAACCAGAGGAAGGCGAGGGCAACGACAGGUCAGUAUGCCCCGAAUGUCCUGGGCUACACGCGCGCUACAAAGGACGGGACAAUGGGAAGCCAGGCCGAGAGGCCGAGCUAACCCGAAACCCGUUCAUAGUUCGGAUUGUGGGCUGUAACUCGCCCACAUGAAGCUGGAUUGCGUAGUAAUCGUGUUUCAACAUAGCACGGUGAAUAUGCCCCUGCUCCUUGCACACACCGCCCGUCAAACCAUCUUAGUUGGGGGUGGGUGAGGCUGCGCUUUAUGGCGUAUUCGAGCCUGCCUUCGACAAGGAGGGUUAAG
rnacentral:rRNA from 2 species